CCUACGGGGGGCAGCAGUGGGGAAUAUUGCGCAAUGGGCGAAAGCCUGACGCAGCGACGCCGCGUGAGGGAUGAAGGUCUUCGGAUCGUUAACCUCUGUCAGCAGGGAAGAACGGUCACUGUGCUAAUCAGCAGUGAAUUGACGGUACCUGCAAAGGAAGCACCGGCUAACUCCGUGCCAGCAGCCGCGGUAGUACGGAGGGUGCGUGCGUUAAUCGGAAUUACUGGGCGUAAAGCGCUCGUAGGCGGUAUGUCAAGUCAAGGGUGAAAUCCCCGCGCUCAACGUGGGAACUGCCGUUGAAACUGGCAAACUGGAGUGUGUGAGAGGAUAGUGGAAUUCGAGGUGUAGGAGUGAAAUCCGUAGAUAUCGGGAGGAACAUCAGUGGCGAAGGCGACUAUCUGGCACAUAACUGACGCUGAGGAGCGAAAGCGUGGGUAGCAAACAGGAUUAGAUACCCGAGUAGUC
rnacentral:rRNA from 1 species